ACCGUGCGCGGCCCCAGCCACCCCGCCCUCCCCUCUGCCGUGGGAUGCGGGGAUUUGGGACGGCUGAAGGACUCGGGGCCCCAACCGCCGCAGCGCUGCUGCCCGCAUCCGGCAGCACGACCCUAAUCCCCCCGAGCCCUCCAGCGCUGCUCCCGGUGCCCCACGGGGCUGAGGUACAGAAAUUGUUUAAUAAUGACUUUGGAGAAGGUUUCCCUAUCCAGUCUCCUGAUCAGGAAGAAAGAAGAAGGUUUUUGGAGGACUUAAUCACGAGAGGAGCUGCUGUUGAUCCUCCACUUCCAAGAAGCAAGCAGCUUUAGGCUGGGCAGACACGGGAAGCACUGCCUGCAGCAGCAGCAGCUGAGCUCCGUGUGCCAGAGGAAGGAAUGCGGCGUCUGGAGGAGCAGGAGGAGGAGACCCCGCGUGACUCUGCGUGUUCUGCAGGGCCGUUCCUCACAGACUGCCACUGACAGACGUUUGGGGCACUGCAGAGCCUGUUGGUGCGGAUGAGGUCCUGAUGAUGGCAUAGGCAUUAAACAGCAUGGAGCUCGUCGCUGGGGAGAGGCUGUGCAUUGUGUUUUGAAGGGAGAGAUAGAGGAAGGGUUUGAACAGCGUUGUGCAGGAAUGGAAAGCUGGUUGCUGCCCCUCAAAGUGCACUGUGGAUGGGCAGCACGAUGACAGCCCAAGGAUGGCAGCAGAAGAUGCAGCACAGCCCUCUCCAGCAGCAAGGCAGGACACGGGCAGCAGGACUGCAGCUCCUCUGGCAGCUUUGCAGCUACAUCAGGAAGCAGAAGACGUGGAUUUAACAGAAGAACUCAGUUACUGGGAUGUUCCCCUGUUCUUCCCCUACCUGUCCCCUUGCCUCAGCCCGGAUUCCUCUUGCAUUCUCGUAGGUGUCCCUUCCAUCCCCCAGGGUGCUCCUUGCUUCCCCCAAGCUAACCCUUUACCUUCGCAUAACAGCCCACCCACAAUUUCCUCAGAGCCCCAAUAGCUCCCUCAGUAUUUCCCCAGCAAGACCCUGUAGGCACCCCACAACCCCCCAGAGAGCCCAGAGCCCUUUACUGACCUCCUCAGACCUGGUACUCCUCCCUCAUUGCUGGCCAAAAACCUCACAAACCUCCAUAGUCCCCAGCAGCACCCCAUAUCGCCCACUGGACUACCACUGAACCCCCUUAUUUCCUCCCUCAGACCUCCCUUAACACCUCCAGGGCUCCUUACCAAACUCACAGAAAACCACACUCCCUGACAGCACCCCUGUCACCAAUACCAGGCCCCUCCUCUCCCCCUGCUCCUGCAGGCUCUGUUGUCAUAUCCAUCCCAUGGCCGUAUAUCCCCCACACCCCGCCACAGAGCCCCAUAACUCCUCCAGGAGCUCCUCAGACUUGGUGCACCUCCCCCACAGCCAGCCUGGGACCUCACAGAGCCCCAUAGUCCCCAGCAGCACCCCUUAUCCCUGCUCUGGGCUCCCCUAGAUCCCCCCUAUUUCCUCCUUUGGACCUCCCUAACCCCCCUUGGGUCAUCCCUUGGAUCUCGCAGGCCCCCACAGUCCCUGGCAGGACCCCCGUCACAAGUCCAGGACCCCAGUAGCCCACCUGGUGCUGCUGAACCCAGCAUCCUCAGUGAGCUGUGCCACAGUGCGGCACACUGAGCCCUUCUGCAUUGCUGCAGAACGGAACACAUGCAGAUCCCAGGUCAGUGGACACUGCUCUGCAGGUCACUGCCUGGCCCAGGAACUCCUCCCCUGUGCUGUCUGUGAAAGUCUUUUCUUUGCUCCUGGCACAUCUUCCAUCUCCAGAGCACAUGAGAUCCGAAACACUCUGCAAGUUAUACCAGU